rfam:Capsicum annuum cultivar Zunla-1 chromosome 11, whole genome shotgun sequence
ACCUCAUGAUAUGGACAUUGCAUGAGUUUUCUAUUGAAUCUUUCCCACACCUCAUACAAGGGUUCACCAUUCAAUUGUCGAAAGUUAAUGAUUUUAUCACACAAUU